rnacentral:piRNA from 1 species
GAUGACAUAAGCUGUUGCUAGGUCCCGGAG